CCUACGGGAGGCAGCAGUGGGGGAUAUUGCACAAUGGGGGAAACCCUGAUGCAGCGACGCCGCGUGUGGGAAGACGGUCCUCUGGAUUGUAAACCACUGUCCCCAGGGACGAAGAUGACGGUACCUGGGGAGGAAACUCCGGCUAACUACGUGCCAGCAGCGGCGGUAAGAUGUAGGGAGCGAGCGUUGUCCGGAAUUACUGGGUGUAAAGGGAGCGUAGGCGGGACUGCAAGUUGGGUGUCAAAUCUACCGGCUCAAACGGUAGCCGAAGUCAAAACUGCAGUUCUUGAGUGAAGUAGAGGCAGGCGGAAUUCCUAGUGUAGCGGUGAAAUGCGGAGAUAUUAGGAGGAACACCAGUGGCGAAGGCGGCCUGCUGGGCUUUUACUGACGCUGAGGCUCGAAAGUGUGGGGAGCAAACAGGAUUAGAUACCCCUGUAGUC
rnacentral:rRNA from 1 species